AGCUUUGUGAACAGCAGCAUUGUAGCCAAUGAAGUUCAUCUGAGGCACAAUUAUUGCUAAUUGAAAACCUUCAGCCUGCCAAGCACUCUCUGUUAAUCACUGGGAAAUCAGUUGUACAAUUAGAUUUGUCACUAGUCA
rfam:Fukomys damarensis contig92846, whole genome shotgun sequence.